ACGUGACAUACUUCCGUUGAUUAAAGCAUUAGAAGCAGCAGAUCGACUGACGUACGGUGUGUUAAAGUGUUCCCUUUUAAGAAGUUUACCGGAACCGCGGAACCGAUGAUCCUCUUAAACAGAGGAAAAGCAAUCACUAUUGCACAGUGACAGACAUUGCACGUGUGAGGAAUAAUCCUCGGCAGGCCCAAUACCCCAUUAACUACAAUUCCCAAUAUCAUCUGGAAAAGUGACGCCGAAAUCACAAAACAGAGGUAUCAGAUAUACGGCCGGCUACCUGUCACAGCAUAAGGUGCACAAUACCGACGAACAGUCAUCGUACCAAGCAACCCGUACCGUCGCACAGUACGAACCACGAAGAGGCGACAGUGCAGCUUCCAUCCCGCGCAAACGGACCAUAUCCACCAAAUCACUCCCCGAACACAGAAGGCCCUCGGAAGAGGGCCUUUCUUUUUUGAUAAAUAAAUAGCAGCAGUGCGACGACAGCCGCGCUCACGCCACCGACAUCGACACAGCAUUUGCCAGGACGUGUGAAGAUCGUCCCGAUCGCUCUAACUAGCAGUUUUAGAUUACAUCCUCACACUAUACCAAAAUCCAAUUGGAAAACUCAGUGGUGAGAACGACGAGCCUGUGAGAAACUCACUAAUGCAUGCUGAGCUUGGAGAGCGUCGCAGUCACACUAGUGUUGAGCAUCAACGUUACCCACUAGUAACUCGGGUAUCACGUGUUGACGGUUAGGAAGAAGGGUGAAAGGGCCCAAGCAUCAAGUGUA